rnacentral:rRNA from 1 species
UCCGUAGGCGGGCGUCUAAGUCAGUGGUGAAAUCUUACAGCUCAACUGUAAAAUUGCCAUUGCUACUGGAUGUCUUGAAUUAGUGUGAAGUGGUUAGAAUGUGUAGUGUAGCGGUGAAAUGCAUAGAUAUUACACAGAAUACCAAUUGCGAAGGCAGAUCACUAACACUAUAUUGACGCUGAGGGACGAAAGCGUGGGGAGCGAACAGGAUUAGAUACCCUGGUAGUCC